UAUCCUAUAUUUAUGUCGUGGACAGGGUUUUGCUGCAGCAUCAUAUGCAUUGCUAGAGUGGGAGAAGACCUUACAGUUUAUUGCCAUCAUUGGCCUCAGUCAGGUAUACUAUUAUUUGUUAUAGUGCUCUGGUUAAUGUUUCUUUCACACACACAAAGAUGUUGAUUUCUAAGCUGAUAAUGGUUAAAACAAACUUCACACA